UUAUUGGCUGAAUGAGCGUUUGUCGGUUUUUUAUUAUUAUUAUAAUAUCGUGCGUGCAUAGCAACAGCCACCUACUGAUUUAUGUAUUCUACACUUUUGUAACAGUAUUGUUACUACUGUUUAGAUUUGAAUGAUCAGAAAAUUUCAAUAUUAUAAUUCGAAUUUUAUUUAAUGUCCAUUGAAUAGAUAUUGAAACUCUGCAAGUCGAUACCAGAAACAAAUGCAUAAUAUACAGUCCUCAACCUGCUCAAUCGUCUAUCAACAAUCAGACCAAUUUCGUAAACAAGCCGAAUUAUUCAUCUCGCGCCGGUAAAAUGGUCUAAGUGUUGUAUGGACGCGACUACAGCCACUAUGGCCUAACCAGAAAUAAUAAUGUUACACUGUUAUGCACGUACUUCGCGACUAAUAAAAGGGAUCGUAGAUUCCCUAAUAGAUUCAAACCAAAUCAAAAUGAAACCUCGAGUAAUGACUUCCAUUCAGAUAAACGUAAAUUAUGUACUACACCUAUUAAAAAUGAACAGAUUAAUACACAACCAUAUGCCAAAAGCUCAAAUAAAAUUAAUGCGGUUCUCGAAGGUCUAGGUUUUGUGUGUAAUAAUGAUAAAAUAUAUACAUAUCGUGCAUAAUACAUAUUAUACAUAUUAUACACUGUUAUAAUGUUAAUAAUCAAUAUAAUACCGGAUACGGCACAAAAACUCAUACGUCACCUGCAAUGUCAAAAUUUUUGUCACAUCAUGUUUGGUAUCGCAAAGCCAUCUCCAAAUGGAUUGACAAACAUGGAAAGCACAAAACAAUAGUGUAGAUUCCGGAAAGACUUCUUGUAGUGCUUGACGUUCUGCUGUACUAUCGUCUGUCAUGAAUACUAAAGUUUUCUUUUGUUAAAUAUUUAUGAAUGACAGCACCUAAAGGAAUGCCACCAACCUUUGAAACGCCAAAAAUAAAGUGAUACAAGAACCACUUUGAUCACAUGAACUUGUAGAGUCCACAAAAAUAAUGUCUUGGGAAAAAGGCAUUUUGUAAGCUCUCAUCAUAAGUGGAGUAAUAAUUACUACACAUAAUGAAAACUCACAAUGAACAGAACUACAGAAUAAGAAAACUUCAAAUUUCAAUUAUCUUGUAAAUAAUGAACUAAUGAGCUAUGAUAACUGACAAGUGAUAACGUAUCUUGCGCAAUGAGGGAUGUGGGUGCCAUACCCGUCUGACCGAAUUCAGUUACGGUUCGUAAAUACGUCGACCGGCCGCCGACGGCGAGUAGUGGGCGUGACUUAAACGCCGCACGCUUGCGGAAUGCGAAAACACUUAACAGCGCAUUCUCUCGGCCGUUGUAUACGUUUCACUUUACGUGUAGCGUCCUAUUAAUAUUAAGCCCACUGCAUUCAAAUUUAUUAUCAAUGUCAUCCACCAAUUUAUUCACUUGCAAAAAAAGUAGCUGAAAUAGUUGUUACCGAGACAGUGAAAGUAGAAAUUGAAAGGAUUUUUCAAUAAAAAGGUUAUUAUUAAUAUUAGCGGCGCGGCAAUUUUCAACUAGCACACCCCACUAGUUAGGUAAUCAUGCUAUAAAUCUGAAAAUAAAAACAACAAUUAAUGUAAAUCCCACAGUUAGCUAUUAUAAAUUAAUAACUACAGUAAUUAAUAAUUACGGUUAUUAGUUUAUCCUUUUUGAUCAUAACACUUGGUUAGUUUUUCUAAUGCACUUCGGCAUUUAUUUAAAUCAUCAGAAUUCGCUUUCGCGCAUUCUAUAAAACUUUUUAUUUCGUCCUCACAUGGUGGCUUAAUGUAUUUUGAUACCACUUUUUCCUAAUAAUAAAUAAAUUAUCAUUAUAAAUAAUAUAUUAUUUAUAAAUUUUUAAAUUAUUAUACAUACAACUAAUACUUUUGUGGUCUCGCCAUGAUGAUUUCUACAAUAUCCUUAGCCAGUGGUCGUCCUGUAUCAGUUUCCAUAAUAAUAAAUAUAAUAAAAAUUUUUUAUAAUUAAAAUGUAUAUAAUAGAUAAAACGCAUAAAAAACAAGGGAAAGAAAUAUUUAUAUGAACAAUUUUAGCUUAUAACUACAUUUUUUUUUUUAACAUCAAUAUAUAUAUAUAUUAUGUUCAUGCUAUAAAUCUGAAAAUAAAAAUAACAAUUAAUGUAAAUCCCACAGUUAACUAUUAUAAAUAGUCAUUACGGUUAUUAGCUUAUACCUUAUUCUUUAAAACAAUGUUUUAAUUUUUUAAAUUCUUCGAUACAUUUGUUCAGAUUAUUAUCAUGUUUUUCAGCACAUUUGAUAAAUUUAAUAAUUUCUUGUUCGCACUUGUUGUUACCUUCAUAUUUUGAUGCAACUUUUUCCUAAUAACAAAUAAAUUAUUAUUAUAAAUAAUAUAUUAUUUAUAAAUUUUUAAAUUAUUAUACAUACAACUAAUUUUUUUGUGGUCUCGGCCUCGAUGAUUUUAACAAUAUCCUUAGCCAGUGGUCGUCCUGUAUCAGUUUCCAUAAUUUUUUUAAUAUGAUUGCCUAAAAUAUUAAUAACAUUGUUAUUAACACGAAAAAAUAAUUUUUUAUAAUAAAAAUAGUCGUUUAUUUAUUAUUAAUAGCAAGGAUUGAUAACAGUUUUAUUUCAGCCAUAUAUAUAUAUAUAUAUAAUAUAACUAGCUGACCCCGUGCACUUCGUUGCCCGUUAAAAAUGCAAAUUCUAUAUAAUAUGAUUCGAAUUUUGAUUAAUUUGUUAUUUACUAUUCGGUUUAACGGUGUUCAAAACUUAGACAUUUUCAUUGACUGUUUUGAUUCUCAAAAAUCUUGUGAAAGCACCACUUUAAUAUGCGAAUUUUGUAAAAUGCUUUCUUAUUACACACUAAAUUUGUGAUACGUUUCUACGAAUGUACCGUGUAAAUUGUAAGCAUCGAUCUAUCAUUGUUCAGGCUCUACGUUUAUCAGUCAGUGAGUUACUCAAGUCAUAAUAUUAUAGUCAUUCUGCUUACCGUUGCCGUGAGACUCUCUUAUGAUUAUGAGAGCAGUAUAUUAUCAUGUAGGCAAUCCACACGUGGUAGAUUGCGGACCCCACGAGAUGUGUAUAAGAAUUUUAUAAUUUCUAACACUUAAGUUUCAAAGUUAUGUCAUUUUUUUUUUUUUACUAUAGUGGGUAAAAUACAAUAAUGUGCCAAGUGGUUUUUGUAUUGUUGCCUGUUGGUAAAACAAUAAAACUUAGUAUAACUUGUUAUGUUAGUCUAUUGCUGUAAAAAAAUGUAUAUUAAAUAUAUAUAUUAUAAUCAAGCUGUCCCGACACGGCGUUGCCCGCGUAUUAUUUGUUUUUUUUUGCAUUUUCGUAGGCCAUGUAUUAGUGUUAUUAUGUAUGAGAAAAUUUAAUAAAACAUAUAAAUAUGGUUUAUCACGGAGAUAUGAAAAUUUUAUAUUAAAAUUGCAUUUAAAUACCUAUGUACUAUGUGAUACACCAUACUAUAUUGUGUAUUAUCCCAGCACUAUUUUCAAAAUAAUUAAUAUAAGAAUGAUCUAUGUUUAUAAUGUUACUAACUAAUAUUUAUCUUGCUCGUUAAAUAUACCAACUAUAUAUGACUCAAACUUUGUUCAAUUCAUUAUUUAAUAUUCUGUGGAUUAUGUUCUAGAUUUAUCUUAAGUUUUCUGUGGCCCGGAAUAAAAAUUCUGAUUCGCUGAACUGCUGAAGUAUAUUAUCAUUUAUCAGGUAGGCAAUCUAUCUGCGGUAGAUCGCGGACCUAGUGCUGUUUGUAUGUAAGUGUAUGAUUUAACUCUAAUAAAUAUCAAAGUUAUACCAAGUUUGACAUAGUACGGUGGAUUAUAUUAAUCAAUUAAUACAUAAUCCUAACCCAACCUUAACGCACUAAAAUCCGAUGAGAGCGUCCAGCUCGCCGAUGAUGCGUCUGGCAAAAAAAUAAUCAAGGUUAUUGUAGUCACAACGUGCAUUCACGCGAUUGGCAAGUUUAAUUUAAUUUAAAUUUAACAAUUGAUGUGAAUUUUAAAUUUACUGUGGCCAUUGACUUAUUUCGCUAAUUCUUAUUUUUGUUGUUAUGGUUUUAACAAAAUAUAACAUCAGGUCUAUAACUAUUAUAUUCAAUCAUAAUCAAUAGCGAUCUUAAUAUAGUUUAUUUUCUUGCUGAACAACUGCAGUGACAGUUGUUGUUGUUUUUUUACACCCAGAUUCCGAACUUUUCUGGUGUAUUUUCCUAAAAUUGUAUUACAUAAGCACAUUUUCCUGCGACCAAUAAGAGGAAUUAUAUUAUAUUAUAUUAUAUUCAUAUUAUUAAAUGGUUACCAAAUGUUAUCAAAAUCCGUAAUUCAUUAUAUUAAUUUUAUAUAUUACCAUAGCAACCACAAAUAAAUAAAUAUUAUUCUCAAAUCUUAUAACCCCCAUAGCAACCAUUUAUAAACAAAAAUUUCUAUCGUAAAUCUCAAUAUUCCUGUUUGAGCACAUAUUAUUAAUAAUACAUAUUGAAAAAAAACUAUCCUAUCUUUUAAGUUGGAUCAAAUUACACGCUGUGUAAAAAAUUUCAUCAAAAUCGGUUAAGUGGUUUAGGAGUCCAUUGAGGACAAACAUUGUGACACGAGAUUUAUAUAUAUUAAGAUAUAUUAUUGAUAUAUUAUAGUAUCAAACUAUUAAAUAAUAUGUUAAAUAUACUUUAAAUAAACCUAGACUCAGUCAAUUUACUAUAUUCUUAACUUUCUGUUGAUAACGUUAGUAAUGUUUCAGGAGAAACUUUUUUGGAAGCUAUUGUUAAUACGCCAGAUUCUCUUAAACAAAAAAAAAAAAAUCUAUUAUAAGUCUAGUAUAGUCUAGAGUCUAG